rnacentral:rRNA from 1 species
GGCAGCGAACGUAUCACUUAAAGCGAUUCAGCGGGUUACGAUUGACGGAGCGAAGCGACGUCAAAGCGUAUACAAAGUCGAGUCGGUUUAAGGAUACGUUCGUUGGGUAGGGGAGCGUUCUGUAAGCCUGCGAAGGUGGCCUGUGAGGGUUGCUGGAGGUAUCAGAAGUGCGAAUGCUGACAUAAGUAACGAUAAAGCGGGUGAAAAGCCCGCUCGCCGGAAGACCAAGGGUUCCUGUCCAACGUUAAUCGGGGCAGGGUGAGUCGACCCCUAAGGCGAGGCCGAAAGGCGUAGUCGAUGGGAAACGGGUUAAUAUUCCCGUACUUGGUGUUACUGCGAAGGGGGGACGGAGAAGGCUAUGUUGGCCGGGCGACGGUUGUCCCGGUUUAAGCGUGUAGGUGUGUGUUCCAGGUAAAUCCGGUUCACUUUAACACUGAGGCGUGAUGACGAGGCACUACGGUGCUGAAGCAACAAAUGCCCUGCUUCCAGGAAAAGCCUCUAAGCAUCAGGUAACAUCAAAUCGUACCCCAAACCGACACAGGUGGUCAGGUAGAGAAUACCAA